UGCAAUCUACCUUUCACAGAGGGAUAGCCCAGAGAAAUUUGGAUUAAUACCUCAUAGUAUGCAGAGUUGGCAUCAACUCUGCAUUAAAGUCACAACGGUGAAAGAUGAGCAUGCGUCCCAUUAGCUAGUUGGUAAGGUAACGGCUUACCAAGGCUACGAUGGGUAGGGGUCCUGAGAGGGAGAUCC
rnacentral:rRNA from 1 species